rnacentral:lncRNA from 1 species
UACUGUUUGAAUGCAAUACAGACCUAAUUUUUAGCUAGCUAGUAAUUAGCUCAUGUAUCCAAAUAGACCCUAAAGCAAAACGAUUAGGAUAUGUGUGCUUAUGCAACAAUUUUUUGGUUUACGCGUCAUUCUUUGAAUAGACAUUAGUGUCUAUAUUUUUAGGGACAGGGACAGGGACAGGGAUCUUAAUUAUUAUAAAUUGGUUUGUCAUUGCAAAACAUCAUAUCAACUAUCCCCGGGAAAUUCAUAAUUAAUACUGGAAAGUUGGAUUUUGAGCUAAACACUUAAAUCAUUCACGACUGAAAAGUCUCUGCAUGCAGACAGCAGUUACCACUAAAGCACUGCAUUUGCAUAUAAAAUGUGAAACCAAAAAAAAAAAAUCUGUGAGUGCCGUCUACAUACCACUCCUCCCUUGUCAGUUUGAUACGCACACAUUACAUCUGACGAAAAGAACUUAAGAAAGCCAAAUGCAGCGUUGACUUAAGCCGGCCGUCAGUUGCUCUGUCAGUGUCAAUGCAUCUCCAAUAAUGGUGAGUAUGUCGGCAAAAAGACGACGACUCUACACAGACAAAAGAACCCUACAUAGACAAAGAACUCUAUAUAAUGGUAAGUAUAACAUGGCAGGGCGAUCGCUAGCUUCGCCGUCACUAUCUUCGGGUGCAUUCAUCUUGGCAACAAACUCCUCACUUUGUCUCCUUGUGAGAUGCACGACCAGUGGCCUUCUUCUAGGUAUAGUUAACUCCCAUCAUCAAUCAUUAAUUAUUGGCUAAAUCAGCAGUAGCAGUGUACUUGUCUUAUAGACUACUUUAGUACUAACGUACAAUUCAGUUCAAGUACAAGUGGUGUACAUGUAUAUGGGUGUAGAUACGACGAAUACCUGCCCGACCUCGGCCAUUUUGCGGCCCGGGGUUAAAGACCCCUUUAACACCGGUUCGUAACACGAACCGGUGCUAAAGGGUCCUGCCCAACGGCUACUGACAAGUGCUGUCGAGGCAGAGACCCUUUAGAACCGGUUCGUGUUACCAACCGGUGCUAAAGGGUCCCCUUUAGCACCGGCCAGCGCCGAAGAAGUGAACCAAAAAAAAAAGAAAAAGAAACCCUUUAACACCGGUUGGUAAUGUGUUAAAGGGUCCUGCAACGUGGCAGCCCU